UUACCGGAAGUAAACUUUUUAUUCAUUAUUUCAAAAGCUGAGAAAAUUCGGUCCAGAGUCUGUAAGUCUCGUCACGUGACUCGCGAGAUUUUACGAUAAUAUUCACUUCCUCGCACAGGGUGAAUGUGUACUAUUGAGUUCAGCAUGUUUCUGGGUUACACACAGCUUUCAGGGGGAAAUUAAAUAGUUUUACAAAGCCGAAGGGUUGUCCGACUUACGAUGUAUGAAUUUCAUGGCAUAAGAAAUUGGGUGCGAGCGUCCACCAGGAAUUAACCGAUCGAAAUACAGAUUUCUCUUGAAUCCGAGAUGUUAUUUAUCAGCUGAUUAUAGAGGAGGAGUUUGUCAUUGAUGGGUACCAACGUCAUAUUCAUCAUAAAUUAUGAUAUUGUGGCUGCAUCAUUUUUGUUAGGCAGAGGUACAAGAGAACCAGUAACACAGAUAAAAUAUGCAGUUCCUAAGAGAUCCAAAGUCAGCAGCACCUAAGACUAUACUGAUCAUGACUUUGAAUUAUCAGCAUCCAAAACAAUGCAAAUCAAAUACAGGUUUCGUCUGUACAUCUGGCAAUCUUAGGACAAUACUGGAUGGUUUUAAUUAAGAACUGAUCCAGCAUGAAGACCAGCCAUGUGCCUCACCUGUCAUGACAUUAUUAAAGGUAAGUGUCCCUAUAAGCAUAUCUGAGUACUGGUAUAUGAUUGCCAUACUUUCCAAAACUUUUUUUUAAAUGCUUUAUUUUGAAGCAUUUUCCAUAUCCAUAUAUACACUGUACAAACACAAGACAAUUUUCACCCACUCACCACCACAAUUGCACACACUCACACAGUGCACUUUCUAAACUUAAAAAUAAUGAGAUUUUUGUAAAAUACUUAUGCCCCCCUCCCACCACAUUGGAAUUUUUUAUCUAAGUCCAAAAAGGCAUAACUCUGUCAAAAAUGGUGCGAGCAUACCCAAAAGAGAACUUGACCUAGAUAUUCAUCUGAUAAAUCUGUAUACUAAAUUGCAUUUCACUAUGUGCAACCUCUGCAAAGGAAAUGAACGGAAACUGCAAGUAAUUGGAAUUUUUCUAAAUCCAAGGGGCAUAACUCUGUCAA